rnacentral:rRNA from 1 species
GACGAACGCUGGCGGCGUGCUAAUACAUGCAAGUAGAACGCUGAAGAGAGGAGCUGCUCUUCUUGGAUGAGUUGCGAACGGGUGAGUAACGCGUAGGUAACCUGCCUGGUAGCGGGGGAUAACUAUUGGAAACGAUAGCUAAUACCGCAUAAUAGUAGAUGUUGCAUAACAUUUGCUUAAAAGGUGCAAUUGCAUCACUACCAGAUGGACCUGCGUUGUAUUAGCUAGUUGGUGGGGUAACGGCUCACCAAGGCAACGAUACAUAGCCGACCUGAGAGGGUGAUCGGCCACACUGGGACUGAGACACGGCCCAGACUCCUACGGGAGGCAGCAGUAGGGAAUCUUCGGCAAUGGACGGAAGUCUGACCGAGCAACGCCGCGUGAGUGAAGAAGGUUUUCGGAUCGUAAAGCUCUGUUGUAAGAGAAGAACGAGUGUGAGAGUGGAAAGUUCACACUGUGACGGUAUCUUACCAGAAAGGGACGGCUAACUACGUGCCAGCAGCCGCGGUAAUACGUAGGUCCCGAGCGUUGUCCGGAUUUAUUGGGCGUAAAGCGAGCGCAGGCGGUUAGAUAAGUCUGAAGUUAAAGGCUGUGGCUUAACCAUAGUACGCUUUGGAAACUGUUUAACUUGAGUGCAAGAGGGGAGAGUGGAAUUCCAUGUGUAGCGGUGAAAUGCGUAGCUAUAUGGAGGAACACCGGUGGCGAAAGCGGCUCUCUGGCUU